rnacentral:rRNA from 1 species
CCCUUAGAUGUUCUGGGCCGCACGCGCGCUACACUGAUGCAUUCAACGAGUCUAAAACCUGCUCUGAUAGGGGUGGGUAAUCUUUUGAAUGUGCAUCGUGAUUGGGAUAGAUGAUUGCAAUUUUUCAUCUUCAACGAGGAAUGCCUAGUAAACGUAAGUCAUCAGCUUGCAUUGAUUACGUCCCUGCCCUUUGUACACACCGCCCGUCGCUCCUACCGAUUGAAUGAUCCGAUGAAUAUCAUGGAUUGAGGAUGCAAGCAGGUUCGCCUGUCUUCAUCUUCGAGAAGUGAAGUAAAUCUUAUCAUUUAGAGGAAGGAGAAGUCGUAACA